AUUUCUCAGCGUGUACAGAACAGCUAACAGCACCAUCACAUGCAGCAGCCGUGCCUUGAACAUUUCCAUCAGUCAUGCGACCUCACAGGAUGCUGGUGAUUACUGGUGUGGAGUGGAAUCAAAUGAUGGAAGUUACAGAUUAUCACACACACAAGUAAACCUGAAAGUUAUAGAUAUUGAACCUUUGACAUCAACUAUUGGACAGAACUUCACUUACCAGUGUAAGUACAACCGGGAUGCCUCCUCAUGUAUAAAAUUCAUCUGCAAAGGAGAAGAUUCAACUGUAUGCAAACAGCUAGUAACCACCACAGAGCCUGACGUGAACCAGAGGUUUAUAAUGAAAGAGAACAGCGGGAGUAUCACCAUUACAGUGAGAGAAGUAACAGCAAACGAUAGUGGGAUAUACUGGUGUGGAGCAAGAGUCCCUCACAAAGACAAUCAAACACAUGACGACUUCUUUGAUGGAUUUAAUUUGACUCUAGAGCUUUUGCCUGUAACAGAAACAGGUCUUCUAACCACA
ensembl:lncRNA